UUGAACCAAAAUAUAUAUUUUUCAUUGAUACUUAAAAGAUUGUUCAUACAUAUGGUUCAAAAAAAAAAAAGACUUCAGAAGAGGAAAUCUAACAACUAGUUCUCCCUUUUUGACACAACAAAAAGGAGUGGGAGGAACACAUAUCUUAAAAUGAAAAGGAUGGACAAAAGCCCUCAGGAGAUGAUUUGUGAAGGUUGGAGGUGAAUUAGGUAGUGGUGGGAUCAAGUCCCAACUUGGGCGCGAGUUAGGUGGUCAUCAAAUCCCGUAAGAUCGCAUUCUCCUAAUCUUGAUAAGUAUGUCGGUCGAUGAUAGUUUGGAGAGUAAUAAAGAUUUUGGGGAUGUCCUUACAAGUCUUUGAGGUGUUUUUAUCAAUUUUGGAAUGUUUUGAAGGACGAUGGUCUUCAUUCAGAAUUUGCGGUAGUGCAAAAAGAAGAUAGUAUGGUAAAAGUUGGCCUAAUGGUAGGAAGAGUACCUGAUGUGGAUUUAGUCUGAGGAACUGAAGGGUCAGGAAGAUCCAUAUAUGGAAAAGUCAGAUAUUCGUUAAUGCCAAAUAAAUAGGAACUAGUCUUUAGGGUUGAGACAAAAGCUAGAGACAUUUGAGAGGUUCAUUGAUGGUUAAGCUUUGAGUUGGAUUAACACCAAGAGGAAUGGAGCCUGAUGGAACAAAAGUAUAAUGAAGAUUGUUCUUUUGAAGCAGAUAAUGUUCUUAGGGAAUGUUGAUUCAACAUUUGGGUUCAACAAUGGUUUCCUCGCAUAUCGUUUACUUUUGAUUGAUCUAGAAGAGAAAUUAGUUUGAGUGUGGUGGAUGUUUAAGGAUGGUGUAAUGGACGAAUGUUUCUUCAUGUGGGAUAUAUUCUUGGAAGAGCAUUUGGAGAUUUUGAUGUUAGAGUUUUCAUUUGAGAUGGACAUUGAAGUACCUAAAGGUUUGGUGAGAACCAUACCAUAAGGAACAAUAUUUCUCUUGUAUCUCGAUUUAUUGAAGCAAUCAUGUUUUGAAUAAUGAUGAGGAAGAUUAAGCUUUUGGAAAUGGAGCCUAUGGUAGAUAACCAGAGCAUUGUUAUCUGAUACGUGCUCAUGGCUACCACAGUGAGGUAGGAUGGAAUGUUGACUAAUGUUGUUGAAUAUUUUUGGAAGAGGUUUUAAAUUGGCAAAUACAAAAUUUGUGGAACCAGAGAUAAAUAGCUCUUGAAAGAUCAAAUCUUUGUUGAUGUUGAGAGCGGAAUACCAAUCUUUCCCAAAGACUGUUGACCCUUCAGUGAGUAACUAUAAAAUCUCAGCGAGAAUGGCAGGGGUGAGGCAGAUUUCUACACCUUUCAGAGUGGAGACAAGAAGGGAUUUAUCAGCAAAAACUUGAUCUUUGCUGUAAAAGGCCCGAACAACUUCAGGAUAAAAUGAAUAUGAAACUUGUAGAAAGUCUGAACAGCCAAGUGCAUCACUAUGAUGUUUGAUUAAAGUACCUUCAAAUUAAAGGUUAUCAAACAUAAAAAUUUUGAUUAUGCCAAUGCGUCGUUUGGCCCAUUUGUCUUGGAAAACUUUUUGGUAUUUUGAAGAUAGUAGAGGAGGAAUUAGAAUUUUGAAAGAGGUUUUAUGUGACGAGUGUUGUUUCGGUUAAAAUUUGGAUAAUAAUUUUUCUUGUUAAUUGGGGUUAGGUAGAGAACAUUUUGAUGAAAUGAUUUUUGCUGGAGAACGUUCUGGAUUUUUGGUUUUGUGGGAAAGUUGUUUUGGGUUUUUGAGUUUUCGUUUGGCUAAGAAUUGAGAAAUGGUGGAAGAUGAUUUUGUUUUGGGGAUUGACUUAUUGGGUUUUGAAGGAAUGGAUUUUGAUUUUGAAGGUGAAAUUUUUGAAGUGGAUUUUGUUGGUGAAGUGGAUGGUUGGGAGGGUCUUGAAGAAGGUUAUGAAGAUUUUGAUGGAGCUUUUGAUGGUGAUCUUGGUUCAUAAUCAUCCGUCGGAGAUAAUGUAUCAAUACUUUUGGACUUAUUGGAGGUUCCAACUCAUGUCGUAGCCUCAUCAAUCUUUGUUUGGAUGACGUAUUAUCAGAGUGAGUUUUCAUGGAUUUUUUUCUUUAAAUGAGGGUGUACUUGGCUAUUUGUUGGAGGGCUACAUUGUUAGAGGGGUUGCAGUACAGUUGAGAGAAGAGCGAGUGAGAUGGGUUGUGGACUUGAUUUCAGGGAUAAGGAUAAAUAGUCAGAAAAAGUUUUUUCUAAUGAUGAUUUUUCUGGGGGUGUGGGUCUUUGUGGUGGAGAUGGUUAUCGAGAGGCAGAUGGAGAUAGGGUUCUAGAAUUCAUAUUUUUUCUAGAGGAAGUUUUAGUGCAAGUCAUUGUUGUUUGAGAGAGAAAGGAUGAACAAUGAGAAAGAAGAGAUUUUUUUUUUGCAAAUAAUGAAUACACUAGUUUACAGAGAG
rnacentral:lncRNA from 1 species